rnacentral:rRNA from 1 species
UACAGAGGGUGCAAGCGUUGCUCGGAUUUACUGGGCGUAAAGCGUACGCAGACGGUUUGGUAGGUCGGGUGUGAAAGCCCAGGGCUCAACCCUGGAAAUGCACUCGAAACCACCUCACUUGAGUAUAGGAGAGGGAAGCGGAAUUCCUGGUGUAGAGGUGAAAUUCGUAGAUAUCAGGAGGAACACCGGUGGCGAAGGCGGCUUCCUGGCCUAUUACUGACGUUCAGGUACGAAAGCGUGGGUAGCAAACAGGAUUAGAUACCCUGGUAGUCCACGCCGUAAACGAUGAGUGCUGGAUGUCGGGGGUAUUCACCCCCUCGGUAUCGAAGCUAACGCGAUAAGCACUCCGCCUGGGGAGUACGGCCGCAAGGUUG